GACAGAGGCCUCAAGCGUUAGGCGGAAUCACUGGGCUUAAAGCGUGUGUAGGCGGAUCCAUAAGUCGGGCGUGAAAUCCCCAGGCUCAACCUGGGAACUGCGCUCGAAACUGUGGGUCUUGAGUGUCGGAGAGGAUGGCGGAAUUCCUGGUGUAGAGGUGAAAUGCGUAGAGAUCCGGAAGAAUACCGGUGGCGAAGGCGGCCUGCUGGGCAGUGGCUGACACUGAGGCGCGACAGCGUGGGGAGCAAACAGG
rnacentral:rRNA from 1 species